rnacentral:rRNA from 1 species
UACGGAGGGGCUAGCGUUGUUCGGAAUUACUGGGCGUAAAGCGCACGUAGGCGGCUUUGUAAGUUAGAGGUGAAAGCCCGGGGCUCAACUCCGGAAUUGCCUUUAAGACUGCAUCGCUAGAAUUGUGGAGAGGUAAGUGGAAUUCCGAGUGUAGAGGUGAAAUUCGAUGAGAUAGUUCGGAAGAACACCAGUGGCGAAGGCGACUCACUGGA